rnacentral:rRNA from 1 species
AUGUGUAGGCACCUACCCUUGGGUCCGGGAUAGCUGCGGGAAACCGCAGGUAAUACCGGAUGACAUCUCCGGAUCAAAGGUGUGAUUCCGCCCGAAGAGGGGCCUACAUCCUAUUAGCUUGUUGGUGAGGUAACGGCUCACCAAGGCGACGAUGGGUAACGGGUGUGAGAGCAUGACCCGUGUCAUUGGGACUGAGACACUGCCCAGACACCUACGGGUGGCUGCAGUCGAGAAUCUUCGGCAAUGGGCGAAAGCCUGACCGAGCGAUGCCGCGUGCGGGAUGAAGGCCCUCGGGUUGUAAACCGCUGUCAACGAGGAGGAAGUGCAAGGGGGUUCUCCCUUUUGUUUGACCUAUUCGAGAAGGAAGUACGGGCUAAGUUCGUGCCGGCAGCCGCGGUAAGACGAACCGUACAAACGUUAUUCGGAAUUAUUGGGCUUAAAGGGUGCGUAGGCUGCGCGGAAAGUUGGGUGUGAAAGCCCUCGGCUCAACCGAGGAAUUGCGCCCAAAACUACCGUGCUCGAGGGGGACAGAGGUGAGCGGAACUCAAGGUGGAGCGGUGAAAUGCGUUGAUAUCUUGAGGAACACCGGUGGCGAAAGCGGCUCACUGGGUCUCUUCUGACGCUGAGGCACGAAAGCCAAGGUAGCAAACGGGAUUAGAUACCCCGGUAGUCUUGGCCGU